rnacentral:lncRNA from 1 species
UCUGUGUCACAUUGUGAUAAUUCUCACAAUAUUUUGAACUUUUUCAUUGUCACUACAUUUGGAGAACACCGUGUGAUCAGUGAUCUUAGGUGUCACCACUGCAGUUGUUCUGUGAUGCCACGCCCCACACCAUAUAAGACGGCGACCUUAAAUAAUGAACAUGUGUUCUGACCGCUCCACCAGGGCCACCCCCCUGCCGUUCUCCCUCCCUGUUCCCUGAGACACAACAAAAUUGAAACUAGCCAGUUAGAAACCCUACAAUGACCUCUAAGUGUUCAAGUGAAAGAGAGCACGACCGUCUCUCACGUUAAGUCAAAAGCCAGACCUAUGUCAGCUUAGUGAGGAAGGACACAAAGACCUGGACAGGCCGGGAGCCGGAGCUCUUGGGCCAAACAGUUAGCCAAGUUGUGAACAAAAAAGCAAAGUUCUUACAGGAAAUUAAAAUGCCACCGUGGUGAACAUACCGCUACUGCUGAUAUGGGGAACGUUGGUGUGGUCUGGGGAGAAGAUCAAAGGAGCCAGAAUAUUCCCCUAAGCCAGAGCCGCAUCCAGAACAAGACCCAACUCUUCAAUUCUAUGAAGGCUGAGAGAGGGAAGAAGGUGCCGAAGCAACGUUUGAACUGGAGAGGAGAAGUCAGUGCUCAGCUUCAAAGCUUCAAAGGACAGGCUGACGCUCUUGGGCCUUUAAAUUGAAGCCAGUUCCCAGGGACCAUUCCCCGAAUCCUAGGGCCCUUAAGAAUUACACUAAAUCCACUCUGCCUGUGCUCUAUAAAUAGAACAUGAAAUAGUAGCAUGCUCAGGAUAAAUGGGCCAAAAGUUAAGAUGACACAAUAAAUAAGCUCAAAGAGGUAAGGGAAUACAAAAUCAUGGGAGCCAGGAAAAGAACUUGCUGAACAGGAUGAGCAGUAGUUUCUGGUACCCGAUUAUACUCAAAGUGGGGCAGGGGGCCACCCCAAGAUCCAGCAACAUUCUCAGCAGAGCAGAUGGAACUCCAGCCCCUUUUGUGCCUCCCCAGAGAGAGUGAGAGAGCUGAUGGGGAUACGGUCCGCUCUCCCCUCCUGACAUGCUAAGGAUGCCCCCUGUAGACCUUAGUCGGUCCUGCACACAUGAGGGGGUCGCAGCACAGACGUGGAAUGGUGCUCUGCGCUGCAUGUAGUUUAUUUCUACAGCACUGGUCUGUGCUACUCUCCAGCCUAAAAACUUUUAGUAGCUUUCUGUCAUCAACGGAAAGAACUCAGAAAGACAGGGCUCCUGGCCCCAAACUACCGCCCUGACUUUGCCUCCUGCCCUUCUCUAAGCACCUCACUACCUAGCAACACAAAAGCCUGCAUCUCAGAUGGCAACGCUCCUUCUAAGGCCCGGUUCUGCAGACCCGAGAGUGGCCUGGAGCCUCUGGGGGGCAGGAGUGGGAGCAGUGGAGAGGGCGAGCGCUGCCGGGGCCUCUGGAGGUGGGGGAAGCCGGAUGCGCUGUGAGUCAAGGAGCCGCCGCUAGGGAUCCCCACACAUGCUGCCUUCUUCGCAACUCCAUGCUUCAGAAAAUGCGGUGCCACCUGCCUAGAAGGUUCCUUCCACUCUGCCCACCAACUCAACGCCUACCCAUCCUUCCAGACUCCAGCCCUGGCCAGCACGGGGCAGCAGCUGUGAUUACAGGCGCGCAUCACCGUCACUGGGGGGGUGUUCACGGCUUCCUCUCUUCCGCCGUGAGCGCCUGGAGGGCGGGGACCGCGUUUCCCUCUCCGCCUCCCCUGUGGGAUGUGCAGUGCCUGUCACUUAGAGACACUGACUAAAUGCCCGAUUCAUUAAUUAAAUACGAAGGUCUGGCUAGCUAAUUAAUCAUCGUGGGUAAUUAUACAUCACGAGAGGAUCUGUCCAGGAUGAUUCUUUGGAAUCCCUGCCUGGAGGGAGGGCCUUCCUAGAGGCGGGUCAGCACGAUUUAAUUAUAGUCCCGUGUCAGGCCUCCCUCUGAACACCUGCCCGGUUCUCCAGGCAGAGGCUCCCGCCAAAGGGUCCUUCAGUUUCCUGCCAGGCACAGAGGCCGCAGCCGAGCCGGGCCGGCCACUGACAAAUGGGGAAGGUGUCCAAAGUUAAAGGUUUGGUUUUCGAACCUCCUGGACCCCAGGGAUGAUCCUGUUCUCUGGCGGGAGCUUUCCUGUUCUUCGACACGCAGAAGACCCAGCGCUGUCAGACCAGCUGGAAUGGACGGUUUUCAAUAUAAAGCUCAGCUUCCUGGGGAGCCAGGGCUCCUUCCAGUGAGCCCAGGGGUCCUGGCACCCUUCACCACCUCACCUCCCCCGUACACACCCCUGUCCGCGUCGUCUCUGGUCCAGGUGUUUCCUCUACCUGGAAUUCUCAUCCCACUCCAGCCCACCCCACUGUCCACGGUAGACACCUACUCGCUUGUGUUUUAAAAGUCAGGUCAGGCAUCACCCUGGUAGGAAGCCUCUUGGACCCCUCACCCCGCCCCCUGCCACUGCCAGGCCCAGGAAGCAGAGACCCUCCCUUCUAUCCCAGUCCCUCCCUCUAGAGUGUCUGCGGUGGGGCUCAGUCUGCAGAGAUCUCACUGGGAGGCCAGGGCCCCUGCCACCGCAGGGAACAGUCCCAGGUCAAAGCCUGAGACACCAGCCCCAGAAGCAGCCCAGAGAGGAAGGGGCAGGUGCAUGGCAGGGGAAGGGAGGUGGCCUGUGGGGUCCUCCUGGGUGGGGACGGGCAAAGACUGGCACCACGGGGGCUUCGGGCCUCCCUGGGGAAUGUGUCUGCCCUCCAGGUCAGCAUGGAGCUUUGAAGCACUUCUUUCUUCCCACAUCUGUGAGAGAAAGGAAGCUAACUUGUGGCACAAGAACACUGCAAAAUAAAUUAGCGCCUUCCUUGCAAGGAAUGCAAACCUCCUUGGCAAGGUGUAGAGGCCUCCUGUGGUUAAGACAGUGAUAGGAGCUCAACCCUGAGGGAUAAGAGCCCAGUGGGGCGACAACAAGGAGCCAGCAGCAACAGAGAAAGCUCCCAUCACAAGAGCUUUGGAGCCAAGAUCCUGAGUCAGUUGACAAAGAAGAAUAAGAAUUAGAGAAAAUGGUACCAGCUUUUUGUGGGCAUGUUUUCCACAGGUGUUCUUCAAGAACUGGAGUUCCCUGGUGGCUCAGAAGGUUAAGGACCCAGGGUUGUCACUGCUGUGGCUUGGGUUCAAUCCCUAGCUGAGGAACUUCUGCAUGCUGUGGGUACAGCCAAAAUAAAAAAAAAAAAAAAAUCAUCUGCUUCAGGACUUAACAUGAAGUUCAACUUCUUUAGGAGAGAGAGCUCUUUUAGAAAAUUACAGAUAGAAAAGCAUCUGGAAUUCCCUCCCCGACCCCUAAGCCUGGUUUUGAUUUUACGCUUCUGGUUCAGGUGUGGCAGGGCACACUAAGCAUGACACAAUAAUAGCGCUCCUGAAAUUACAGAAACAGUGUCUUACAGCUGGCUUAGCUUUUACAGAUUAACUUAGAAAACUAGUAAAUGCCUAACACUUACUAUAUGCUGGGCCCUGUUCUAAAUGUGUCUUGUGAAUUAUUUCUUUAGUCUUCCCAACAACCCCCUCAGGUAGCUACUACCACGAUCUCCGUUUAAUAGACAUGGAAUCCAAGGCUGUAAAGUGCCACCAACUUGCCUGGGACUCCCAGCUAGAGGGAGGGAAAGCUGGGGUGGGCAGCCAGACAGUGGCUGGCUCCAGGGUGCCCACUUUUAACCACCAUGCCCUCCCACCCUCAGCAUGAAGGCCACUCGGCGGGGUGUGCAGGACACGGAGGUUGGUCUUCCCAGCAUGGUGGACUGAUGGAAAGACUAAACUGGACUUGGGAGUGACUCCUCCCAAGGGAGAAUGGAUGAGGGCGUCAGUGGGGGCUCUGGGCCAAGAGGCAAUUAGCCGGGGUGGGUGAAGACUGAGAGCAGCCAGGGGGCCAUGCAGAGGGAAUGUUCCAGAAGACAAGCAAAAACCAAGAUGAACCCUAAGCUUGAGGAUAGGGACCAGAGCAGAAGCCACCAAAGGAGGGCCAAGACCAACAGGGACGAGAAACCAGGAGGCACAACUGACCCCCCCCCCCGACACCCCUUCCCCCCCAUGGAGAGGCAGUGGUGGCGCAGCUGGAGUCUCCGGGGGUGUGGUUGACGCAGCCGCCUGAAGGCUUGGGGGUUGGGCCAGAGCGAGAAGGCCUUGGUUGGGGGGUUGCAGGAAGAUGACCACAGGUGUUUAAAGUCCGACCACAGCGGUGAAAAUGGUUCCCUAGACAGAUGAACCAGGACUCACCAGGAGCCUGUGGUCCAGAAAUGCUUGAACCGGACGUUGAGUUUCAUGGGUGGGGAGGCCUGAUUCCAGGCUCUCCCUCUAAAGGCCCCAGAAGAAUCUCUGUUCUGCAACCGCUGUCUCGCUUGUCUGGCUUCUCCGCCGAGGAUGCUGAUGACAGGGCAAGCCUGCCACCAUCACGUCCUAUAAUAUAAUUUGGGGCACUAGGCAUAUCCUGAGCUAUAAACCAGGAGCCCAGAAAUCAUUAGCUGGUACCAGGGAUUUCAUGUCACUAUGGAGAUAUUCCCAAGUAAAUCUUUUCCUUUCCAACCACCAAACACCAUCGUGUUACAACCAAGACAGGUGUCUAUUUAUUCCCAACCAGUCUCUCUCAGAUUUACGUUCCAGUCAUGAGAUGGGACUUCUUGCUGCAUUUCAGCGCAUUACUUAAUCAAAUGGCAUACUGGUUGACCCCAGUGUAUCUUAAAGGUGGGAUUAUUUAUGGAGAUGGUUUCGCGUGUGGGGUCACCAUGGGGCCUAAUUUGCAUGUGUAUCUCAGGAGAGCUGGGAUGUUAUUUGCAUAAGACCCCCCAGGUUUCCUGGGAGGGUCAACGAAGAGGACCCUGGCACCACUGAAGGGCAGACUCCCACGUUCAGGGACCAGCUACCCAAGGGAUGACAUCAGUCAAGCCCCAGAGGAGAGCACUUUGGGAAAGUAGCCCCAGCCCACCUCCAGUCCAAAGCGAGCACGUGCUCUGCGGCAGCAGACGUCUUGGCGGGGACUGCCUACCGUGGCACCAUGAACAGCUCUUCUGAGGCCCUUCCAGGAGUGGGGGGGUCCUUAUGAGCCAGACUGCCCAGCAGUGGACGUUCACUAAAUUUAGGAGAAACAUUUCUCAAGCCCCUCCUGGGGCAGUGGGAGCAAGGCCAGCAGGUAUGACUCCUGCCCUCAAGGGCUGUCACAGUCCAGUGAGCAGGAGCACCUGGUGCCCUUGAAGCCAGAGCAGUGGUUUAUCUUGCUGCUUUGUGUCUUCCUGGUGGCACAAGCCUUCUGUCACACAUAAGGUCCCUCUCUGUCUGAGGUUACUUUCUUUGCUCUGAAGUCUACUUUGGCCAGAUGUUGUAGAGCCACUCCUGCUUUCUAUCUGCAUCGUAUAUCUUUUUCUAUCCACUUAAUUUCAGUCUACCCACGUUGUUGUAUUUGAAGUGACCUUCCUGUAUCAACAUAUUUGGGAUCACUUUUUAAAAUCCAUUCAGUCAAUUUCUGUCUUUUAAUUGGUAUUAGACCAUUUACAUUUAAAGUAAUUGUUGAGGUUUCAGGGCUUAAAUCUGCUAUUUUAUUAUUGUUUUGUUUCUUCCUUUUCUUUCUUUUUUCUUUUUUCCCUGCCCACAGCAUGUGGAAGUUCCUGGGCCAGGGAUCGAACUCACACCACAGCAGUGACCCGAAACCAUGCAGUGACAACACCAGAUCCUUAACUCACUGCACCUCAAGAGAACUCCAUGUUUCUUCUAUUGCUAAUCCCAUCAUUUCUCUUUUCUUCCUCUGGGUUACUCAAGCAUUUUUUUUAGGGCUCCAUAUUGAUAUAUUUGUAAUGUCUUUGAGUAUUUUACUUGGCAUAGUUUUCUUAGCAGUUGCUAUAGACGUUAUAAUAUGCAUGUAUAACUUAUCACAGUCCACUGGUAUCAAAGGUACUGGUACCAGUUUGAGUGAAGUACAGAAACCUUAUUUUCAUUUUGGUCCCCCUAUCUUUCCCAUUUUUAAAAGUUAGCUUUCUUAAGUAUUUCCUCCACAUAUACUGAACACUACAUCAGAUGGUGUUAAAUUUUUGCUACAAUCAUCAAAUAUGUUUUAAGAAAUUCAUGAGAAAUAGGAGAGUCUAUUUACUCCUAUUUUUAUC